UGUGAGCCAACACAAUGUCUUCUUCAUUCCUGUGUUCCUCAGACACAGCACAGAGCCACACAAACGGAAGCAUAAAAACAACUUACAAUUCUCAAUUUAGAAGAUCUUACUUUAAUGGGAGCUCAUAUUUAUACUCCUCCCAAGACACACACACAAUAGUCUCUGUACAUACCGUUAAAUUUAGUCCUUUUUUCUUUUUCAAAAAGGAAGCAUCUGGAAUGCUUCAAUAAUGAAAAAAGUACAUGCUGGCCCCUUGGGCCCAGAUUUCAACUGAUACUUCUGGCAGAAAAUGCUUGUACCAGUCUAUGCCUAACAAUAAAGAACCCAGUUCCCAACUUAGACAUUUGGCUGGUGCUCCGGUGAG
rnacentral:lncRNA from 1 species